GUUGGAUAAAUUUACAAAUAUGUUUCUUACAUUUUCUUCUUCCUUUUUCAAAGAGCCAACUGUUAAACAUAUGCCAGUACACCACUGACUCUACCCUGGGACACUGGGCUUUGUGUCAUCUAAGUCCAGUGACAAGACAAAGAUCAAGAUGACUUUGCCCUCUUCAAUGUCUGAUGAAGCUCAAAGAGCUCAACUGCUUCUGCUUCAACUGCCUUCUUCAUGGACAUGGGAACAAAUUGUUCUCAUCCUCCCCUUCUCUCAGGGCACAGAUGCAAUAAGAGAUGGAAGGACUGAGAUCCAAGGAAAAGUUGCUUCUCUUUGCCCUGAAAGUUCUCUGCAUCAUGUUUUAGAGAUGAAGCUUGCAGCAGAAAGUGGAAGUUGCCUUGUGCUGGCACAGGUGGACAUCAUUUUACUGACUUCCAAGGCAGUGGUGAAUGAGUAAAGGUCUUGCUUCUACCUGUUUCCUUCCAACGGUGAGGGGGAUAUGUGUGUGUGAG
rnacentral:lncRNA from 1 species